AUGUACAUUUCUACAACAUAGGGUUAAUGCAUCGGAUCCCAUUAGAACUCCGUAGUGAAGCACACUCAGGAUAGAGUAAUACUGCAAUGGGUGACCGCCCGGGAAGUCCUAGUGUUUUACAUG
rnacentral:rRNA from 1 species